AUUGAACGCUGGCGGCAUGCUUUACACAUGCAAGUCGAACGGCAGCGCGGGCUUCGGCCUGGCGGCGAGUGGCGAACGGGUGAGUAAUGCAUCGGAACGUGCCCAGUAGUGGGGGAUAGCCCGGCGAAAGCCGGAUUAAUACCGCAUACGACCUGAGGGUGAAAGCGGGGGACCGAAAGGCCUCGCGCUAUUGGAGCGGCCGAUGUCGGAUUAGCUAGUUGGUGGGGUAAAGGCUUACCAAGGCGACGAUCCGUAGCUGGUCUGAGAGGACGACCAGCCACACUGGGACUGAGACCCGGCCGAGACCCCUACGGGAGGCAGCAGGGGGGAAUUUUGAAAAAUGGGGGCAACCCUGAUCCAGCCAGGCCGGGGGGGGGAAGAAGGCCUUCGGGUUGAAAACCGCUUUUGUUCGGAAAAAAAUCCUCUGGGCUAAUACCCCGGGGGGAUGGCGGUACCGGAAGAAAAAGCACCGGCUAACUACGG
rnacentral:rRNA from 1 species